UGCAACUCUUCUUCCCGGAGCACAAACACACCACCCCCACACCCCACCGAGAAAUGAUAUGCUGCCGCCGCCCUCCUCCCCCACCAACUCCUCCGUCUCCUCCUCCGAUCUCAACACCGAGGAUGAAGAUGGUCUUGGUUGGUGGGUACGAGUGCUCGAAGGAUAGCUUGGGGUUCGACCGGAUCUCCACGUUUGAGUCGUCCAGCUGCAGUGGGGAGUGGUGGAGAGAACUGAGAAGGCGCACAACGUGAUCAACUCAAGCUUUCUCUCUCUGGCGAGGAAGUUGGAUCUGUGCAGCCUAUGCUCCGGCGGCGCUUUCUCCGUUUUUCUUUUGUUGCCAGAUGCUCAAAUGGGAGAGAACUGAGAACACCUCGUUUCUGUAGUGGAUUACAAUAUGACCCA